AGAGUUUGAUCCUGGCUCAGAGCGAACGCUGGCGGCAGGCCUAAUACAUGCAAGUCGAACGGAUCCUUCGGGAUUAGUGGCGGACGGGUGAGUAACACGUGGGAACGUGCCCUUUGGUUCGGAACAACUCAGGGAAACUUGAGCUAAUACCGGAUGUGCCCUUCGGGGGAAAGAUUUAUCGCCAUUGGAGCGGCCCGCGUCUGAUUAGCUAGUUGGUGGGGUAAAGGCCCACCAAGGCGACGAUCAGUAGCUGGUCUGAGAGGAUGAUCAGCCACACUGGGACUGAGACACGGCCCAGACUCCUACGGGAGGCAGCAGUAGGGAAUCUUGCGCAAUGGGCGAAAGCCUGACGCAGCCAUGCCGCGUGAAUGAUGAAGGUCUUAGGAUUGUAAAAUUCUUUCAGCGGGGACGAUAAUGACGGUACCCGCAGAAGAAGCCCCGGCUAACUUCGUGCCAGCAGCCGCGGUAAUACGAAGGGGGCUAGCGUUGCUCGGAAUUACUGGGCGUAAAGGGCGCGUAGGCGGAUGUCUUAGUCAGAGGUGAAAGCCCAGGGCUCAACCCUGGAACUGCCUUUGAUACUGGGCAUCUUGAGUACGGGAGAGGUGAGUGGAACUCCGAGUGUAGAGGUGAAAUUCGUAGAUAUUCGGAAGAACACCAGUGGCGAAGGCGACUCACUGGCCCGUUACUGACGCUGAGGCGCGAAAGCGUGGGGAGCAAACAGGAUUAGAUACCCUAGUAGUCC
rnacentral:rRNA from 1 species